GGGGUGUGAUCAGAGCAGGGCGCCGGAGACUGGCUCCUCUGUUUACAGCACGUCCAACAGCAACUCGGGUGUGCUCCUCACAGGGGCCGGGCACCGUGGCUUCCUGUGACGGUACGCCCUACAUGU